UACGUAGGGGGCGAGCGUUGUCCGGAUUCAUUGGGCGUAAAGAGCUCGUAGGCGGCUUGGCAAGUCGGAUGUGAAAACUCCAGGCUCAACCUGGAGCCGCCAUUCGAUACUGCCAUGGCUAGAGUCCGGUAGGGGAGUGUGGAAUUCCCGGUGUAGCGGUGAAAUGCGCAGAUAUCGGGAGGAACACCGAUGGCGAAGGCAAUCCCCUGGGCCUGCACUGACGCUCAUGCACGAAAGCGUGGGGAGCAAACAGG
rnacentral:rRNA from 1 species